rnacentral:rRNA from 1 species
AUGGCUGACUCGGCAGCGGCUGCUGCUGCGGCGGCGGCGCAACCGGCGACAGUGGGGCAAGCCGUGAUCCCGCUCGUCAAUAGGCUGCAAGACAUCAUGGCGCGGCUGGAUGGUGAAGCCGCCGCCGGCGUGGAGCUGCCACAGGUGGCGGCGAUCGGCGGGCAGAGCAGCGGCAAGUCGAGUGUGCUGGAGGCGCUCGUCGGCCGCGACUUCCUCCCGAGGGGCCCCGAAAUCUGCACGCGCCGCCCCCUCGUGCUCCAGCUCGUGCGCCACUCGGCCCCCGAGGAGUGGGGCGAGUUCCUCCACGCCCCCGGCCGCCGAUUCGACGAUUUCGAACACAUCAAGCGCGAGAUCCAGUCGGAAACGGACAAAGAAGCUGGAGGUAACAAAGGUGUCUCUGACAAACAGAUUCGUCUGAAAAUCUUCUCACCAAAUGUAAUUGACAUCACCUUGGUUGACCUCCCUGGAAUUACAAGGGUUCCGGUCGGAGAUCAGCCUAGUGAUAUUGAGUCAAGAAUAAGAACAAUGAUCAUGCAAUACAUCAAGCAUCCAAGCUGCAUUAUCUUGGCCGUCUCACCCGCAAAUGCAGAUUUAGCCAAUUCUGAUGCUCUUCAACUGGCACGGCUUGGUGAUCCUGAUGGAUCUCGUACAAUUGGUGUUAUCACCAAGUUGGACAUCAUGGACAGGGGUACUGAUGCUCGUAACUUUUUACUGGGAAAUGCAAUCCCCCUCAAGCUUGGUUAUGUAGGUAUUGUGAAUCGCAGCCAAGAGGUAUAUUCCGAGGACAUCAACUUUAACCGAAGCAUCAAAGAUGCACUUGCCUUUGAGGAGAAGUUUUUCUCGACUCUACCUGCUUAUCAUGGUCUUUCACAAUGUUGUGGUGUUCCUCAAUUGGCCAAGAAGUUAAAUAUGAUUCUACUAAAGCACAUCACAGAUAUGCUUCCAGGUUUGAAAUCUCGAAUAAAUGCUCAGUUGGUAGCAGUUGCCAAGGAACAUGCUGCAUAUGGUGAUACGGCAGAAUCGACGGCUGGUCAGGGAGUCAAACUAUUGAACAUAUUGGGAAAAUAUUGUGAAGCUUUUUCUUCGAUGGUGGAGGGAAAAAAUAAAGUGUCAACAGAUCAGCUUUCUGGUGGAGCAAGAAUUCACUACAUUUUUCAGUCAAUUUUUGUCAAAAGCUUGGAGGAAAUUGACCCUUGCAAGAAUAUAAGCGAUGAAGAUAUCCGCACGAGUAUACAGAACUCUGACGGUCCAAAGGGUGCUAUGUUUCUGCCAGAGGUGCCUUUUGAGAUUCUUGUGCGAAAGCAGAUAGGCCGUUUGCUUGAUCCAAGUCUUCAGUGUGCCAAAUUUAUCUAUGACGAGUUAGUCAAAAUUAGCCAUGGUUGCUUAACUAGUGAGCUGCAGAAAUACCCAAUUCUUAAAAGACGGAUGGGUGAAUCAGUUAGCAAUUUCUUGAGAGAUGGUCUUCGACCUGCGGAGACAAUGAUAACUCAUAUUAUUGAAAUGGAGAUGGAUUACAUAAAUACCUCACAUUCAAGCUUUAUUGGAGGCAGCAAGGUUGUUGAACUUGCUAAGCACGAAGGUCUAUCUUCGAGAGGACCAACUUCACUAUCGGUUCAUAAGGAUGGUGUUGGUAUAAGUUCUGAGGCGCAGCUAAAAUCUUCUACUGAGAACAAUGUACAGCUCAAAUCUGAAAGAGGUCAAAAGUCACGUGCUGUUUUUGCAAGAGAUACUUCCAGAGGAGCAAUAGCUGAGAAGGGAUUUCAGCCUGAUACAGAUGCAGGAACAAGUGUGGCAGGUGGAGGCCAGAAUGGUCACUCACUUGUUGGUGGGAGUUUGUCAAGCAUGUCAGAUCCACGAGUUUACAGCCUCAAUAGCUUAUACUCUAUGAUUCGGUUAAGAGAGCCACCUAGCACCUUGAAACCAUCAGAAAACAAGACUGACCGGGACAGAACAGAGAUAGCUAUUGUGAAGCUUUUGGUCAAAUCUUACUAUGACAUUGUCAGAAAGAGUAUUGAGGAUGCGGUUCCCAAAGCUAUAAUGCAUUUUUUGGUGAACCACACAAAGCGGGAGCUCCACAACGUUCUAAUUCGGAAACUGUACAGGGAGAGCCUACUUGAUGACAUGCUGAGGGAAACAGAUGAAGUACUUAUCAGACGGCAGCGUAUUCAAGAAACGCUCCAAGUUCUUGAACAGGCACACAGGACGCUCGAGGAAUUUCCCCUUGAAGCUGAGAAGGUUGAGAGGGGCUACAGCCUGUCUGAGUAUGGCACUGGCCUGCCGAAUAUCCCUGGACUCAGCAAUCGCAAUCCUAGGGGUAUCCUCCCUUAA